rnacentral:rRNA from 1 species
AUGCCGCGUGAGUGAUGAAGGCCUUAGGGUCGUAAAGCUCUUUCGCCAGGGAUGAUAAUGACAGUACCUGGUAAAGAAACCCCGGCUAACUCCGUGCCAGCAGCCGCGGUAAUACGGAGGGGGUUAGCGUUGUUCGGAAUUACUGGGCGUAAAGCGCGCGUAGGCGGAUCAGAAAGUUGGGGGUGAAAUCCCGGGGCUCAACCCUGGAACUGCCUCCAAAACUCCUGGUCUUGAGUUCGAGAGAGGUGAGUGGAAUUCCGAGUGUAGAGGUGAAAUUCGUAGAUAUUCGGAGGAACACCAGUGGCGAAGGCGGCUCACUGGCUCGAUACUGACGCUGAGGUGCGAAAGUGUGGGGAGCAAACAGGAUUAGAUACCCUGGUAGUCCACACCGUAAACGAUGAAUGCCAGUCGUCGGGUAGCAUGCUAUUCGGUGACACACCUAACGGAUUAAGCAUUCCGCCUGGGGAGUACGGUCGCAAGAUUAAAACUCA